CCAGAUUUCAGGUCCCUGUUCGGGCGCCACUUGUCGGAGCCAGCCGACAAUCGAUCAGGUCCAGAAACCUGUGCUGCGGA
ensembl:miRNA